rnacentral:rRNA from 1 species
GGGUUGUGAGGUUAAGCGACUAAGCGUACACGGUGGAUGCCCUGGCAGUCAGAGGCGAUGAAGGACGUGCUAAUCUGCGAUAAGCGCCGGUAAGGUGAUAUGAACCGUUAUAACCGGCGAUUUCCGAAUGGGGAAACCCAGUGUGAUUCGUCACACUAUCAUUAACUGAAUCCAUAGGUUAAUGAGGCGAACCGGGGGAACUGAAACAUCUAAGUACCCCGAGGAAAAGAAAUCAACCGAGAUUCCCCCAGUAGCGGCGAGCGAACGGGGAGGAGCCCAGAGCCUGAAUCAGCAUGUGUGUUAGUGGAAGCGUCUGGAAAGGCGCGCGAUACAGGGUGACAGCCCCGUACACAAAAGCGCAUAUGCUGUGAGCUCGAUGAGUAGGGCGGGACACGUGGUAUCCUGUCUGAAUAUGGGGGGACCAUCCUCCAAGGCUAAAUACUCCUGACUGACCGAUAGUGAACCAGUACCGUGAGGGAAAGGCGAAAAGAACCCCGGCGAGGGGAGUGAAAAAGAACCUGAAACCGUGUACGUACAAGCAGUGGGAGCACAGGUUUACCUGUGUGACUGCGUACCUUUUGUAUAAUGGGUCAGCGACUUAUAUUCUGUAGCAAGGUUAACCGUAUAGGGGAGCCGUAGGGAAACCGAGUCUUAAC